rnacentral:rRNA from 1 species
GUAGGGAAUAUUGGGCAAUGGUCGGAAGACUGACCCAGCCAUGCCGCGUGCAGGAAGACGGCCCUCUGGGUUGUAAACUGCUUUUAUCUGGGAAGAAAAAGGCCAUGCGUGGCAAAUUGCCGGUACCAGAUGAAUAAGCACCGGCUAACUCCGUGCCAGCAGCCGCGGUAAUACGGAGGGUGCGAGCGUUGUCCGGCUUUAUUGGGUUUAAAGGGUGCGUAGGCGGCUGAGUAAGUCAGCGGUGAAAGACUUCGGCUUAACCGGGGCAGUGCCGUGGAUACUGGUUGGCUGGAGUGUCGGAGGGGUACAUGGAAUUGAUGGUGUAGCGGUGAAAUGCAUAGAUACCAUCAGGAACACCGAUAGCGAAGGCAUUGUACUGGCCGACAACUGACGCUGAUGCACGAAAGUGUGGGGAUCGAACAGGAUUAGAAACCCCAGUAGUCC